GAUGAACGCUAGCGGCGUGCCUAAUACAUGCAAGUCGAGCGAACAGACGAGGCGCUUGCUCCUCUGACGUUAGCGACGGGCGAGCGAGUAACACGUGGAUAAACUACCUAUAAGACUGAGAUAACUACGGGAAACCGAAGCUAAUACCGGAUAAUAUAUUUACUCGCAUGGCUCAUUAGUGAAAGUAAGUUUUCCUGUCCUUUAUAUAUGGAUCCGCGCCGCAUUAGCUAGGUGGUAAGGUAACGCCUUACCACGGCGACGAUGCGUAGCCGACCUGAGAGGGUGAUCGGCCACACUGGAACUGAGACACGGUCCAGACUCCUACGGGAGGCAGCAGUAGAGUAUCUUCCGCAAGUGGCGAGAGCCUAACGGGACAACGCCACGUGAGUGAUGAAGGUCUUCGGAUCUUAAAACUCUGUUAUUAGGGAAGAACAAGUGUGUAAGUAACUAUGCCCGUCUUGACGGUACCUAAUCAGAAAGCCACGGCUAACUACGUG
rnacentral:rRNA from 1 species